UAGACUGGCUGCCCUGGUAAUCUAGUUUGCAGGUAUAGAUUUCCACGAUACGAAUGUGUUCAAGAAAAUAUGGGGAUACGUUGCAGAACUAACAGAGACUGUCCUUUUGGGCAAUACUGCUGGAGAAGACGGUGCGUUAUCUUCCCAUUUGCAGGCUCCGCCGAUCAAUCCCAAGAUACCCAGGCAACCGGAACUGAAAGCGGAAAUGGAAUGUAAACAAGACUGUUUUAUGUAUUGAUUAUAUUGAAUAAAAAUUUGGAGUGGUA